ACGGGGCCGCACAAGCGGUGGAGCAUGUGGUUUAAUUCGACGCAACGCGAAGAACCUUACUACCCUUGACAUGUCCGGAAUCCUGCAGAGAUGCGGGAGUGCCCGAAAGGGAAUCGGAACACAGGUGCUGCAUGGCUGUCGUCAGCUCGUGUCGUGAGAUGUUGGGUUAAGUCCCGCAACGAGCGCAACCCUUGUCAUUAAUUGCCAUCAUUCAGUUGGGCACUUUAAUGAGACUGCCGGUGACAAACCGGAGGAAGGUGGGGAUGACGUCAAGUCCUCAUGGCCCUUAUGGGUAGGGCUUCACACGUAAUACAAUGGUCGGUACAGAGGGUUGCCAACCCGCGAGGGGGAGCCAAUCCCAGAAAACCGAUCGUAGUCCGGAUUGCAGUCUGCAACUCGACUGCAUGAAGUCGGAAUCGCUAGUAAUCGCGGAUCAGCAUGUCGCGGUGAAUACGUUCCCGGGCCUU
rnacentral:rRNA from 1 species